rnacentral:rRNA from 1 species
AUACGGAGGGUGCAAGCGUUAUUCGGAAUCACUGGGCGUAAAGGACGCGUAGGCGGGUUGGCAAGUCAGAUGUGAAAUCCUACAGCUUAACUGUAGAACUGCAUUUGAAACUGCUAACCUCGAGUAUGGGAGGGGGAGAUGGAAUUAGUGGUGUAGGGGUAAAAUCCGUAGAUAUCACUAGGAAUACCGAAAGCGAAGGCGAUCUCCUGGAACAUAACUGACGCUAAGGCGUGAAAGCGUGGGGAGCAAACAGGAUUAGAAACCCUUGUAGUCC